GUGGGAUUGAGGCGGACGCCCUGCAGAGCCCAGACAGGACCCCGGGGUUGGAGCAUCCAUUGUCUGCCAUGGGUUCAGAGAAGGAAAGUGAUCUGUCCACGGUCACACAGCUUGGACAUGAAGACAGCAGGAUAGGAAUGCAGGGCUCUUGUCUGCCCUACACGGCCCCCUUCCUCUACGUUGGAUGAGGUGACCCACGUGACCCAGGAAUGUGAGAUCAGAACCGGUCCCAGGAAUGAGCCAGAAAACCGAGCCGUGCCGCCCUCUUUACCAACGGAGCUGGGACUCCACAAGAUGUGCCCCCCACCCCGUGUCCACGGACGUGCCUGCUUUCCGGUGGCUGUCGGGAUAGAGGCACACGCCCUGGACCACGCCAGUGCGGCUGUUUGAUGGCAUUCCCAGCCCAGCGGGGAGAAGGAAUUAGCACAAACCUCCAGAGAGAGCCUGUUCUCAUGAAAUCCACAGCCCGGCAGGGCGGCUGAGAGCGGGAGAGCAGCUCAGUCUGGUUUCACAUUCUCUUAUCUGCUGGCUUGUUGGCCCCGUCCGCAGCGUCCUCGGCCCCACGAGAGAAGGUCUGGCACAAGAUGGGGACAGUAAUCCCGGACUGGGAAAAGUUGAAUCCCACGUCUCUACCUAGAGCCCAUCAUCAUAGCCUCCUGCCCCUGUUUGGGGGGGGGGGGGGGGUCACAACCAGGCUCUUCGCGAGAGGAUCACAGCUGCCGGGGGUCCCCUUCCCCUCGGAGCUGUCUUCUACAACCUGGAAAACCUUCUCUCGAUGCCCUUGGUUUGGGGCGGUUUCCUGGCGUUACCAAGCACCCCGAAUCUAAGCGGUGGGAACUUUCCCUUGGCACAGGGCAAUCCCAGGAGCUCAUGGCCAACCUCUCCCGUGGCGUCUGUCCAUCGCCACGUCCAUCACGGGGCCGUCAUCCACCAGGGAGCGUGUCCCCGGCUCUGCGACGAGGCUUCCUCCACACAGAUCCGGACCCGGGAACCUCUGUACGCAGAGUGGGAAGACGGCCCGGCCGAAGAGGGACCCACGUGAGCGGACGUGCUCCCUCGCAGACGCUUGCCCCGUCCUGUGGAUUUACAGUUUUGAAGAGUAAAACAUGAACAUUAACUUAGUUCCAAAAAUCAAAACGAUUCAAAAAAUGUACACUUGGACGGUUCACUCCAUCCCUAAUCCCUCCCUCAUUCCCACACCCUGCAGGGACUCAGUCUCCUGAAUGAUUUCUGGUCUUCCCUUCCUAUAUUGGGGAGGGAUAAUACAUAUAUAAUAAUGUGCAUACGUGCGUGCGUACACGGACAUACAUGUGCCUGUGUGCAUAUAUGUGUAUCAGAACCGCACAGAUGCGGGGCACCUGGGGGGCUCAGCGGGUCAAUCGUCUGCCUUCAGCUCCGGCCCUGGUCCCGGGCUCCCUGCUCAGCAGGAGGCCUGCUUCUCCCUCUCUCACUCCCCUGCUUGUGCUCUGUCUCCCGCUCUCUCUCCAUCUGAUAAAUAAAUAAAUAAAAUCUUUUAAAAAUAUA